AUGCUAAAGGGCCAAAUGUACAUGAAACAAAAAUUGCAUUUACAUACUGUAAGUAGUAAAAGAAGUUUUGUGGAAACUGGCAAAGGGACAGUCACUCUCAGUGAUUGGUAUAUAAUCUUCAAUACAAUCAGAAACUGCAGUAUGUUUAAAGUGGAUGUUUUCUGUUGUGAUGUGAAAUAUUUUGCAGAAGAGCAUGAUUUCUAAACAAAGUGGGGCUUUUAUUCUGUGGGAAGUUUAUUGUAAGAGUGCAGCACGAAAAUUCAAUUUUUGGUCUGUCUUUCCUGCACAUCUUUCACUCUGAUCUUCCUAAAUAGAAGGAGCAAAGCUGCAGACUAUUUCAGAGCAUCAGCCUCCCAUGGAGAGAAGAGGAUAGAUGGAAAUGUGCGAGAAUCAAAGACAUUCUCUUGGGCUUCAUAAGGACUUUCCAGUGCAAAUCUCAGACUCCUUAACCACAGCAAAUAACACUGCUGGUCAUGAGACAGUCUCACAGACAGGGGAGAGGCAAGAUCAUGGUGAUUAGGAGAAAUGGAGGAUCUGUCUAUAGCUUCUGAACUGGUGGGAACAGAGAGGAACUGCCUUUCUUACCCUGUUCCAAUGAUUGGGAAAAAGAGGUCGUUUUUUUUCAAAACUUUUUUAAAGACUAGGUGUGCAAAAGGCAAGUCUUUCUCAGCAACUGAACUGAAAGUGUGGACCUCUUCCCGCAAAAUAUCAUCUCCUGUGCAAACUGCUAGAAAUACUCUCUCGUCUGUUCUGGAUGGAAGAAGUCUUCAAAUCGCCUGCAGGGAGGCCUCUCAGAGAAGUACAAAUCUGUGGAUCAAACAUUAAUCAGGAUGUAGAAGAAGGUGGCUGGCUGGUUGUCCCACCCAGCUCAGCGGCUGCGGUUCUCUCAAGGACAUCACACGUAUGGCACCACUAGAUGCCACUGUCGAGACACAUUUGUUCUUUGAUCUGGCUUCUCCAAAAGUAUUCAGGAAAAUCACAUUAAAAGAAUGGCAAGAUAUGUUUA